rnacentral:rRNA from 1 species
GAUGAACGCUGGCGGCGUGCCUAAUACAUGCAAGUCGAGCGAACGGACGAGAAGCUUGCUUCUCUGAUGUUAGCUGCGGACGGGUGAGUAACACGUGGAUAACCUACCUAUAAGACUGGGAUAACUUCGGGAAACCGGAGCUAAUACCGGAUAAUAUUUUGAACCGCAUGGUUCAAAAGUGAAAGACGGUCUUGCUGUCACUUAUAUAUUGAUCCGCGCUGCAUUAGCUAGUUGGUAAGGUAACGGCUUACCAAGGCAACGAUGCAUAGCCGACCUGAGAGGGUGAUCGGCCACACUGGAACUGAGACACGGUCCAGACUCCUACGGGAGGCAGCAGUAGGGAAUCUUCCGCAAUGGGCGAAAGCCUGACGGAGCAACGCCGCGUGAGUGAUGAAGGUCUUCGGAUCGUAAAACUCUGCUAUUAGGGAAGAACAUAUGUGUAAGUAACUGUGCACAUCUUGACGGUACCUAAUCAGAAAGCCACGGCUAACUACGUG